rnacentral:rRNA from 1 species
UACGUAGGGUGCGAGCGUUGUCCGGAAUUAUUGGGCGUAAAGAGCUUGUAGGUGGUUUGUCGCGUCUGCUGUGAAAAUCCGAGGCUCAGCCUCGGACUUGCAGUGGGUACGGGCAGACUAGAGUGUGGUAGGGGAGACUGGAAUUCCUGGUGUAGCGGUGGAAUGCGCAGAUAUCAGGAGGAACACCGAUGGCGAAGGCGGCGACCUGGUCCUUUUACUGACG